UACGGAGGGUGCAAGCGUUAAUCGGAAUCACUGGGCGUAAAGCGCGCGUAGGCGGCCUUGUAAGUCGGAUGUGAAAUCCCAUGGCUCAACCAUGGAACUGCAUUCGAAACUGCUUGGCUUGAGUACAGGAGAGGGUGGCGGAAUUCCCGGUGUAGGAGUGAAAUCCGUAGAGAUCGGGAGGAACACCAGUGGCGAAGGCGGCCACCUGGACUGUAACUGACGCUGAGGCGCGAAAGCAUGGGGAGCAAACAGG
rnacentral:rRNA from 1 species